CCCAAAGUCUAUUGUUUCAGACCGUGAUAGAAUCUUUCUGGGGGCAGUGUGGAAGGACAUGUUUAAACUGUCGGGUACUCAGCUGAAGCAUAGUACAUCGUAUCGUCCUCAAACUGACGGUCAGACGGAGGUCCUGAAUCGUUGUUUGGAGACAUACUUGCGCUGCUUUACUUCUAGUCAUCCACGGGCUUGGCAUAAAUAUUUGGCGUGGGUAGAGUUUUCUUUUAAUACGGCUUACCACUCUGCUUUGAAGACAUCGCCUUUUAAGGUUGUGUAUGGUAGAGAUCCU
rnacentral:sRNA from 1 species